CAGAAGGGAGAUGACCGGCGGGGCCAGCACAAAGCCCUGCCAGGCCACAAUCCCAGGUCCUUAAGUUGGUCUAUCCUGCCCCGAAAGGUGAAAUCCUCAAAUAGGCUGCUUCCCAAGGCUUCCAGGGCCAAGUGUGCCAACUCAGGGAGGGUGGCGUCUGCACCUCCAGGAAGCUCCAGACAGGCCAGUCCCUCUCACCCAUAUGUGUGAGCUUGAACUUGAGCCCCAUUUUCUGUCUCCUCGUGUGGCCAAGUAGGCCUCCCACCUCUCUGAACACAGCAAGUCACACUCACAUUGCAUUUGGUUUAACUUCCCAGCCGAUGCUGAAUGUUCCUGGACUAUUUCCCAACAUCCAUUUUCUCCCUUUUGCACUUCAGCGUCGGGACCAGCAGGCAGGAAGCAGACUCCACUGGAUUUCCACCCAGGAUGCUCGGCUUCCAGGGGCCCUAGGAAGAAGGUUCCGCUUUCACUGCCUCUCACCUCAGAGCACCCGCCACAGACCCCCUCCCCCACCACUACCACCCUGCAGAAUCGGAUCCCACUGGCUGGAGUUUAUCCUUCACUCAUGGGUCAAGCUGUCAGGCUCUAAUCGCCUGGCAUAGACAGUGGCCAAAACGAGAACAGAAGACAGAAUCUUAUAAUCCAAUAAAAUAAAAGUGAGGGUGAAGGAAAAAGAAGAAGAAUGUCUCACCCCACACUCAGCCUAAAAGGAGAGAAAAGUGCUGAGGUCAAGUAAGUUUUCUAAAGCAUGUUAACAGUUCCGUGUCUGUCCAUCACUAAACUCAUUCAAUAACUUUACAAGUUGGUGCUGUGUGCUUCCUGCUCCCUGGGAAUCUUCUGCGGACCACACUCAUCACUAGAGUAUCUGAGUCACCAGAGGUCUACCUCAGCCCAUUGUUGGGACUACAGGCUGGGUCUUGAUGCAGAACAUACAGCAUAGAGGCCUUCUCCCAGGGAGAGAGUCAGGAGCACAGCACAAUUUACAUCACGGAGAACAAGGAUGAUGCACAGGAUGGGACUCAAGCUGCUUCCUUCCAAGUUUGCGGAGCAUCUGUGUGACUUGAUGGCAUGGUGGGUGUCUCACCUCCAACAGGUGGUCCUCUCUCCCACCCUGCUUUAUAGGCAGGCAUCAGGGAGGCAGUAUCCCUCAGACCCUCUCUGAUUGUUCCCUUCACACCUGUGGUUCCCAUCUCUGAUGAACCUUCUUGCCCUGAGGACCAUCUGGAAUGCAGCUUAGGUUGGCAGAGGGUGAAGGGAGGGAGCUUAUAGAAGCUCCUCAGAUUGGCCAUGUGUGCUUGCUAAUGCCUGUAAUCCCAGAACUUUGGGAGGCCCAGGCAGGCGGAUCACCUGAUGCUAGGAGUUCGAGACCAGCCAGGCCAACACGCUGAAACCCCAUCUCUACUAAAAAUACAAAAAAUUAGCCAGGUGUGGUGGCACACACCUGUAGUCCCAGCUACUCAGGAGGCUGAGGCAGGAGAAUAACUUGAACCCAGGGGGCAGAGGUUGCAGUGGGCUAAGAUUGUGUCAUUGCACUCCAGCCUGGGCAACAGAGUGAGACUGUGUCUCAAAAAAAAAAAAAAAAAAAAUCCUCAGAUCAAAAGUAGGUGCUGUAGGUGGGCAUUCCUGUGAUGUCGUGUUCUGACCCAGAGAAUCUGCCUUCUUCAUGUAUGUUCUAGUCACGAGUCACACAAGACCAAUAACAUGCAAGAUGGCAGUAAGCACAACAACUUUAACCAGCAGGCCCAGGUAGUUAAAGGAUAAUUCAAAUCCUGAAACACAAAGGAAUUUUUUAUUAGGGGAACUAAGUGACAGGCUUAUAUCCCCUUUCCUAAUGGGCUCUCAAAAGCACCUUCAGAAAUUUACACUCUCAAACCCAUUCCUAGCAUGUUGUCAAACACAUCAUAGGUAAGUAUUUCUUGAGAAAAUAAACAAAUGCUAACAUUUGAUUAAAAGCCAAAGCCAGACUUGGAACAAAUGAACCUGGUAAUAGAAGGGCUUGCCACCUAUUUUUGCUAUAUAGCUCCUUGAACCCCAUGCAUGCACACAGAGCUAACUUUGGAAAACACCUAACAUCCCUUUGUGAUGCCAAAUAUAAAUUGCCUGAGAACUGACGAUUAAAUAUUUUUCAUUUUAUGCAUAUUAAAAAUUGUUUAUUUUCAAAAAGAAUCUGUUACAUUUGAGAUGAUGUACCCAGAGAAGCACAAAGACCAGUUGAAUUUCAGAAUGUAUUCUACCAUCAGAUAGUUUAUAUAGACACAAAGAACUAGAAACUAUCUUUAGAGCAAAAUCCACAGAAGCUGGAUGACUGCAACCUCCAGAUGACUGCCUCACAGACCCUGGUCCAACUUAAGUCUUGUCACUGACUUAUCUGGAUACUUAAGAGGGUAAAGGAAGAAGAAAAAAACAUGAAAGUAUUGUAAGUAGUCAGUUACAAGUAGAUUUCUAACCAUGAGAAAUUCAAUUACUAUAUACUGAGCUUCUAUUUUACGCCAAACUCAAUCUUCUCUUGACAUAUAAAAACUAAGAAACUCCCCCCUCAAGAAAAAAAAAAAACUUGCAAAUAGCAUUCCAAGAUUACCCACCCGCCCUUAGAGUCCAGUGGAAAAAGAUUGUGCUAAAUGGCAUCUUUGCUGGGAUUUCAGCAUCUAACAUUCAAAGAUCUACACAAAGCCUUCAACAUCUAAUCUAAUCCUUUGUUUCACAGGGAUAUGCAAGACCUGAGCACCAAGGUCACACAGCAAGUUAGCAAGAUGGGAAAUAAAAAUCAUGUCUAUUGAUCUGUCUGUGGCAGCACAGGCAGGUUACAUUAUUUCAGAGGUAACUGUACCAAAUGAAUUACCAUCACCAGCAGUAAGUCCUUAAAAAGGCUAAGGGCAUCCGUUAAUUCAUUACCAACUGCUCUAUGCUGGACCCACUCACAAGGAGCUCACAUCGAUUUUCCAGUGCAAGUCUCUGCCCAAUGUAAUCUUUGAUAAGAAAAAAAGCAGGACAAAAGCAAGGGUCACAAACGAGCCUUGGGGAAACAACUGGAUGCUCAAGUUAAUUCCUACUCACGUCUACCUUUAUCAGAGUCAGGAAUAGCAUCCUAUGGAAGUAUUACAAAGGUACAGUUGCAAAAGAAAAGUCAGUACAAUGAACAUUCUCAUAAUAAAUGACCUUACAACAUGUUCCAAGUUCUAGAACAGUUCCUGGACCUUGCCCGUAUCCUUCAUAAAAUGUUUUAUUUGGUAUUUGUGGCCAAAGGCAUCAGAAUAAGAGCUCCACCCUGACUUGCUCAGGGUACAGGUCUUCCAGGAGAUCCCAGCAGUUGGUAAACACAGCCAGUGGCAGAGUGCCUAAGCAACCAAUACCCGGGC
rnacentral:lncRNA from 1 species